UACGUAGGGGGCAAGCGUUGUCCGGAAUUAUUGGGCGUAAAGAGCGUGUAGGCGGCCAGAUAAGUCCGCUGUGAAAUCUCGAGGCUCAACUUCGAGCUGUCGGUGGAAACUAUCUGGCUAGAGUCCGGAAGAGGAGAAUGGAAUUCCUGGUGUAGCGGUGAAAUGCGCAGAUAUCAGGAAGAACACCCGUGGCGAAGGCGGUUCUCUGGGACGGUACUGACGCUAAGGCGCGAAAGCGUGGGGAGCGAACAGG
rnacentral:rRNA from 1 species